rnacentral:rRNA from 1 species
UAGGGAAUCUUCGGCAAUGGACGAAAGUCUGACCGAGCAACGCCGCGUGAGUGAAGAAGGUUUUCGGAUCGUAAAACUCUGUUGUUAGAGAAGAACAAGGACGUUAGUAACUGAACGUCCCCUGACGGUAUCUAACCAGAAAGCCACGGCUAACUACGUGCCAGCAGCCGCGGUAAUACGUAGGUGGCAAGCGUUGUCCGGAUUUAUUGGGCGUAAAGCGAGCGCAGGCGGUUUCUUAAGUCUGAUGUGAAAGCCCCCGGCUCAACCGGGGAGGGUCAUUGGAAACGGGGGAACUUGGAGGCAGAAGGGGGGGGUGAAAUUCCAGGUGAGGGGGUGAAAUCCGUGGAUAUAUGGAGGAACACCAGUGGCAAAGGCGGCUUUCUGGUCUGUAACUGAGCCUGAGGCUCGAAGCGUGGGGAGCAAACAGG